CCUACGGGAGGCAGCAGUGAGGAAUAUUGGUCAAUGGGCGCGAGCCUGAACCAGCCAAGUCGCGUGAGGGAAGACGGCCCUACGGGUUGUAAACCUCUUUUGCCGGGGAGCAACGGGCGCCACGUGUGGCGCCACUGAGAGUACCCGGAGAAAAAGCAUCGGCUAACUCCGUGCCAGCAGCCGCGGUAAUACGGAGGAUGCGAGCGUUAUCCGGAGUUAUUGGGUUUAAAGGGUGCGUAGGCGGAGCGUUAAGUCAGUGGUCAAAUUGAGGGGCUCAACCCCUUCCCGCCAUUGAAACUGUGGGACUUGAGUAUGCGCAGGGUACAUGGAAUUCGUGGUGUAGCGGUGAAAUGCUUAGAUAUCACGAAGAACUCCGAUCGCGAAGGCAUUGUACCGGAGCAAGACUGACGCUGAGGCUCGAAAGUGCGGGUAUCAAACAGGAUUAGAUACCCUUGUAGUC
rnacentral:rRNA from 1 species